CUCACACAAGUGCAGACGCUGCCAGCAGAGAGGCGCACGCAAGAACAUUUUUCACACUGACACUGCUCCCUGGAGUCUCAGACUAACCAGGUCCGGCAAAACAUGGAGAGAGAGAGAGAGAGGCUUGUCCCCCUCCGCUGAAACUGACAAGGAGAGUUUUGCAAUUGACAAGUGAUGAAACUGACCAGUUGCUAACCCGACUCCCUCCCCUCACUGCCGCAUCAGAUCUACUCCCCGGCUUUGUUUUAAACGAGCUGCCUUUCUUUUCCACGCCAGACGGAGCUCUGCAGGGCAAGCUGGCAAGUGCGUUCCAAGAGGGAAGAGGCAUCUAUCUGCAAUCAAGAUACACAAAUACCACUGAAAAUCUGGGUUACAUUUUCAGAAACACCCAAGAGACCCAUCCUCAGAAGUGACCCAGGAGCCCACAUCUCAUUGAAAGUCACUGCAACAGGGUCAUCAAAGGAUCCAACUGCUUUAUAGAACAGUGUUACACACUCUGCAUAUACAUUUUAUGUACAAACCUGUGUAGUGUUUUAGAUAAACGGUUCAGAUGUCUGUUUUUGGCCCUGAUCCUACUUCUCAUAGCAGUAAAGUUAAGUGAUUAAUUCUUCUGUGCCUACUAUGCUUUCCCUUGUGAAGCAGCAAGUUAGAGAAGUUGAAAAAGAUUCAGUUACAUGCAAUUACUGUAAUAGUAUAGGAGGAAUGAUUGUAAAAUACAGCUAAAUACAAUA